UACGAAGGGUGCAAACGUUGCUCGGAAUUAUUGGGCGUAAAGAGCUCGUAGGCGGCUUGUCACGUCGGAUGUGAAAGCCCGAGGCUUAACCUCGGGUCUGCAUUCGAUACGGGCUAGCUAGAGUGUGGUAGGGGAGAUCGGAAUUCCUGGUGUAGCGGUGAAAUGCGCAGAUAUCAGGAGGAACACCGGUGGCGAAGGCGGAUCUCUGGGCCAUUACUGACGCUGAGGAGCGAAAGCGUGGGGAGCGAACAGG
rnacentral:rRNA from 1 species